CGCUGCAGACUGUAGCGCCGUGACAUCAUGUACUGACGUCAGGUAUGUCCUACGUAGCGUAUGUCUUUAAUGCGCAUGUACAAAAUAUUUCACUUUAAUCAGUAGGUGGCGGUAAUGCGCCUAAAAGUUUAACCAACCUUAAUAAUACAGCGAAGAAGAAGUUUUUCUCGUCUGCAGUUUGGAUUAGCGUUUUUUCGAAAGGGAUUAAUUCGAUUGCGGUUUAACUUACUGGAAACAGUCACCAGGUUCAGUCCAGCUAAGCCAGUGCUUAUGAGGAAGGCUUCCUUACUUGGGGACUGCUUCAGGAUGUAGAAUGAACAAUGCCACCUAAGAUCCUGUGGCAGAUCCUGAUGGGAGUAGUCAAGGUUGAUGGCGAUGUGGCAGUCUUGAGGCUUGCACUCAAAUGCUAGAUGUUUAGGGACAUUGUUAGUGAGCCCAAAUUUAAAGAACAGGCUCACUUUUUGUGGCUUGACAGUCAUGAGAACUGGAUUGUGUUUUACAGACAACAGUUUCGGAUGCCCUACUCUGUGACUCAAUGCUUCCACUGUGGAGAAAUCUUCAAAGACUGUCCACCUGGCAAUGUUGGGGGUGGCAGAAGGGGUGUCCUAAGGAUUUUAUUCUAAAAAGGAGUUUGAAGGCUGUUGCUCCACUGACUUUUUUUUAAAUGAUGGAGGGGAAUUUCAGACAGAAUAGAUAAAGUUAUUAAUAAAGGAUGGAUGGAAUGCAACUAGGCAAUAAAAAUUGGCUAUAGAACUUGAGGAAAACAUACGGUACUUUGAAAAAAUAUGCAAAAUGUUAUUUUCCUAGUAUUGCAUCCCUAAGUUGAUGUUUCGAAUUAAAAUACAGUUUACCUAACAGAUCUUUCAUAUUAUGAUGCUAAACAGGCUCUUAAAUAGGACUUUGGUCAGAUGAUGAUGGGUGCAUCCCAUGAUUUCAUUCUUAUUUUAUGCCCAUAAUAAUUAAAAUAGUGAUGCUUUUUGCAGUAUGGGAUGGUGUAUAAUUUUCCAUGAAAGUAAAUUUAUUUCAGAAGACAUAAUUCCUUCUACCUCAAAGUGAAAACAAUAUUUUAGGAACUCUUCAUAUCUUCUAGAUGUCCAUUUGACCCCCACAGGGACUAUAAAGGGACCUACCAUCUUCCCAAUAUUCCAGUCAAAAUCAUUACUCUGCCACCUCUCCCUAAUGUUACAGUCUUGUUUGAACAUAGUGGCUAUUAACCAAUAAUCCAGAAUGACAUUCAUCUACAUUAUUCAGUGUAUUUUUGCAUGUCAAUAAAUAAAACUGUUUUAAAAUAUUCUUUGUGUAUUCUUAGCUCACAUCAAAUGUCUCAUUUUUGCAAGUUGUGGUUUGGGGAGGGGUAAAAAUACAGCUUUAUGCACUGAAGGAUCCUGUAUCGAGAGGUUCUUGGGAUUCCAGAGACACCAGCAGGUUUAAAUACAUGUAUUCUUCUUACCUGUGUUUUUUAAUUAUUCCUUUUUUAAAUAUUUUCCUAAAAAUAUAUUUUAAAAAGCCUUAUAGUCAAAUCUUUCUGUAUUGUGAAUCACUCAUGAAUAAUUAUAAUAGUUUAAUGAUUUCUGUUUAGGUCCACCAAAUAUAAAUUGUUAUACAAAAUAAUUUGCUUUUUUUACGAUAAUGCACACUUUUUUAUACCCAUACUGUAUGAGGACCACAACUUGCUCUAUACUAUGGAACAGCAUAUUUUUCAAAAUAUUAAAAUAUCUUUUGACAUUUUUAUUUCAUUUAAAUAUAACAGCAUCCACACUGUCAUAUAACUGUUGAGGGUGAAAUACAAUUUGAAAACUUACUGGUUGUAUUGGAAAAAUAAACAAAAAUGGCAUGUGCAUAAUAAUUUGGAACGCGGUGUAUUAUACCCUGUAUAUGUAUCGUUUUAUGUGUCCUGUUUAUAAAACGAAGCAACAUUGUGUUAUCAUUGAGAUUUUG